CCAUGUAGCUGUGUCACUGGCACCCCCGUGGCUACCCUGUGCUUACCAAAUAAAACAAUUAUGUAUUUAUUACGAUUUUAUAUGAGAACGUCAAAAGCAGAACUAAUGCAACCACGUUCAAACACUGCAGCCUGCUGCCACUGGUGUGUGGCGCUGGCGCUGCUCAGUGAAUGAUAGAUCAGACCAGAGAGAAGAAGACAAACGAAGAAGAUGGAGUUGUGAUUUCUCAGUUCCGAAUGGCGGCCAUAUUGGAAUUUUCUUUACUGUCGCUAGUUUCACACUACUUGAUUUCUCAUGUUGCAGUAAGCUAAACGAUUUCAUCUCUUACGUGACUUGUUGUUCUUGCACGUAACUGUGUAACCGUCUGACUGAUAAAGAAGUUGUUAAAUGUCUUUACGUUUAGAAACAUAAUCAAGCAAACUCAUCCAAGCAGAUGCGAAUAGCCUACAAUGUCAGUACUCAAACCACCAGUAGCAGGCUUAGGACUAGAGUUUGCCAGUCAGACCACUACACCUUUGCCAGCACCACCACCCAGCAAGCUUCAUCAACUCCAGCCAUGCCGAGUUUACCAAUCAGACCUACACCUCUGUCAAAUUCGCUCACAACGCUGCCAGUAACACCCCAGCAAGGUAGAACUGCAUUUUCAUUAAUCUGGCACCAAUAUCAAGGGAGAAACAAGCCAUGAAUGUCUGUCACAACUUCUUUGCAUCUUUACUUUCCUUACAUCUGAAGAGUGUGUUACAUAUAUCAUUAUUAAAAAUAAUUUUAAUAAAUUGUUUAAGCAUGUACAAUAAAUAAAGCAUGUAAAUGAGCAUGUAAAAUAAAUAAACAAAAGCAAGUAAAAUAAAUAAAUAAACAAAAUGUAUUGAACCUAAUACUAUGUGUGGUGAGUCUGUGUGAUAGUUGCUGAGGAUAAAUGUUUUUAUAUUGGAUUAUUAAAUUACAGAAUACAUUUAUAGGUUUCUCAUCAGCAGGCACUGUCUUCACCUUAGUAAAUUUGGUAACUUUGGUAAGUCCUGUAAAUAAUUGUAAAUUGUUCUG